rnacentral:rRNA from 1 species
UCCGUAGGCGGGCAAUUAAGUCAGAGGUGAAAUCCCACAGCUCAACUGUGGAACUGCCUUUGAUACUGGUUGUCUUGAGUUACAGUGAAGUAGAUAGAAUAUGUAGUGUAGCGGUGUAAUGCAUAGAUAUUACAUAGAAUACCGAUUGCGAAGGCAGUCUACUAACUGUAUACUGACGCUAAUGGACGAAAGCGUGGGGAGCGAACAGGAUUAGAUACCCUGGUAGUCC